rnacentral:lncRNA from 1 species
GAUUGGCAACGUACCCUGCUAAGUAUUUAAAAUUUGAGAAGGUGACGCCGAUUUGGGAGAAUUUUUACCGGUGAACUCCAUUCUCUAUAUUUCUCUGUAAAAUUCAAAGCUAAUUGAACUACAUGAUUCUUUAGCAUCUCUCUUCUGCUUUCGUUCGCUAAAUUCCGGGAAGAUGACGUCUAUCACUUCUGUCGAAUUGAAUUACCUCGUUUACCGUUAUCUUCAAGAAUCAGGUCC